UGAAUUUCGAUGCAUUGCAAUGUGGAC
rnacentral:piRNA from 2 species